rnacentral:rRNA from 1 species
AGUGAACGCUGGCGGUAGGCCUAACACAUGCAAGUCGAACGGCAGCACAGUAAGAGCUUGCUCUUACGGGUGGCGAGUGGCGGACGGGUGAGGAAUACAUCGGAAUCUACUUUUUCGUGGGGGAUAACGUAGGGAAACUUACGCUAAUACCGCAUACGACCUACGGGUGAAAGCAGGGGAUCUUCGGACCUUGCGCGAUUGAUUGAGCCGAUGUCGGAUUAGCUAGUUGGCGGGGUAAAGGCCCACCAAGGCGACGAUCCGUAGCUGGUCUGAGAGGAUGAUCAGCCACACUGUAACUGAGACACGGUCCAGACGCCUACGGGAGGCAGCAGUGGGGAAUAGUGGACAAUGGGCGCAAGCCUGAUCCAGCCAUGCCGCGUGGGUGAAGAAGGCCUUCGGGUUGUAAAGCCCUUUUGUUGGGAAAGAAAAGCAGCAGGUUAAUACCCCGCUGUUCUGACGGUACCCAAAGAAUAAGCACCGGCUAACUUCGUG